GCACUGGGGGCUGACGAGGUAUAAGCGUAGUCCGUUUCGCUACGAAGUCGGGUAUAUGUUUUUCUACGAAAACAUUGUGUACAUACACAUGACAUCGAAGAACGGAUUAGUGGAAAUUUGUGUUUAAAACAGAGUCAUGGAGUGGCUGGAUGUUUCCUUUGAGGAAGAGAUAGUAACAACGACACAACAUGAUCCGAAGCGCACAGUCGACAUGGUCCGGUCUCACUAUGAUGCCGGCGGAGCCCCGGUGCGUGAUCAGGCAUCUACCGGGAUGAACCGGGGCCAUACCGGGAUGAACCGGUGCUCCACCGGGAUGAACCGUAGACGACCGGGGACAACCGGGGCUCCACCGGUAAAAUAUUAAAAUGUUUAAUACCUCCGAGAUGAACCGCGAGUCACCGGGAAGGACCGACACCGACCGGCGUGGCACUGUGAACAACCGGGACUGCACCGGUACGGCACCAUAGCUCCACCGGGGCCCAAACAGACCCCGGCAGAGCUACGGGGAGCCUGGUGAAUGCCGACAGAGUCCCGGUAUAGAUUCGGUACAUAAUUAAACCGGCGCUCUGACGGUUCCAUCCCGGUUGUGUCUACAUUGUCCGAAGGUACCACUGGCUCGGGAAAUAUCUGACAAUGGGCGUGUUAAUUCGUGAUAUCUUUCGCACAGGACUUUCUGUCACUGUAGAUUUUGUCGGAAUUAUCAAUUUGCCAGAAACCGGACUGAAUGUAAUAUUUUCAGAAUACUUUUAAUGUCGCCACCCAUAAUAUUGAACGUUCGAUUUCUGUAUUGUACACCUGGUGCAGUGUCACAAGGCAUCUCCCACAUAAAGGGAACCUUUUCGUUUGGAUGCUCAUGCGCACAAUUAAGCACAGCAUCUUUUGC